UUGGAAAUAGCUCAGUUUUGAGAGCGUUAAACUAUAGAUCGAAAGGUCCCUGGUUCGAUCCCGGAAUUCGACA
rnacentral:tRNA from 1 species